AACUAUAUUAGAAUGUUUGCGUUCGGGCAGACCAUAAAGAAAUGUCCCUUUUCUACCUAGGGUUUGACUGCAAGCAUCUCCGCAUUAGGACAAUCGGGCAGAACGGAGCUUAUGGGAUUGACUCACACUAUUUCCCCCAGUCAAGCUAAGAGAACGAUCUCAUUCAGUACAAUACACCGCCCACUGACCCGUUAACAGGAGAUGCCUCUUCAAGUUCUCACGGGUGUAGCAAUGGUAGAAAAGCUUCCUGCAUCUUGUGUUCUAGCAACUCUCCAGAUCAGACGUCAGCGCCCCGCAGAGAGCCAGCCUUGCUAGGCAUGGCAUGUGGCUGCAGUUAGAGUCUGCCAUCCAACUUUCCUCCCUCCCAGCUGCCUGCCUUUAUCAGCUGCAACAGCCAUGACGGUGCCACUCCCACGCAAUUCAGCAUACAGCGUUCCGGGGGUUCCUAAGCAUUGGGUUGGAACCAAGCAACAGACGGAGAGGUUCUGUUGCGGAGAGGCUGUAAGGAGAGGUGGACAGCGAGGCAGGGAGCCAAAUGGGCCGUCUGGAAGAUGGAGGUCCCGAGAGCAGGGUGGUUCCGCUGUGGAGAUUCCUAGGAAGCUGCGGUUUUCACGCCCUCCCUUUCUUGUCUUUCCCUUCCUUCCUGUGACCGAUGCCCACUCGGAGGAAGCCUCCGCUGCUCGUUUCCUGGCAAUAGCCGCCUGUCUUCUCGGCCCCACAGCAAAGGAGGGGAUGCCAUCUCUUCUCGCUCAUGAAGAAGUCAUUUGAGGAAGACAAAGCUUUAUUUAAAUCACCCGUAUGUGCUACAAGAACUACUCAAAGUUGUUUUUAGGCUGCUGUUGAGAACGGAAGAACAGAAGCAGAAGCUGAAGAGAAAUACCCCGCCCUUCACUGUUCAUUCCUUAAGUAUGUUUGUUACAUUGGGCAAUGACAAGACUCAGCACAAGGCCAACAAGCAAAUCCCAAGCUUAUCACAUCUCUCUUUAAAUGUCUUCAACAACUUUAUAUCUAAAUGUCUUAACGAUGAGUGUUAUAUUGACAUUUCAGGGCUCUAAAUAAGGUAAGAUCCUAUCACAUUGGAACAAACCAGCUGAUAACACCCGAUAUGUAAAUGCAAAGGAAUAUUGCUUUGGUUUAGCCUAAUAUCAUUGUACUGCAUUAAUGUUAUAAAACUCGAGACAAAAAUUGGUACCAAUUAUGUUGCUUCUACGAAAAACUAAUAUUCAGUAACAUCUGAAACUCGCUGAUCUAGUAUUUUUUUAAUUAUAAUAACAGACUUCUUUGAUCAUGCAAGCAAGAACAAUAUAAGACUAACAAACUCUAUUACAUCUACAGGUGGUACAGUGGAAAAUAUGUAGAUAGACAUACAUACACGUGCACACACAUACAUAGUAGGUGUGGGCCCAUUUUUGUGCGGUUGCUGGGGCCAUAUAUCUGUCAAAAACAAACAUGGAUCUGAGAAGUCACAUUUUCGACAAGGGGGAGAUGAAAGUAAAAAAGAUGACAGUCCACCGUCUCAAUGGGACAAGUCUUUUCACUUGGGAACAGGUCUCUAGAUAUUCAUAUUUUUAUGAGAUAUUGCUCAGGAGGCAGGUUCUUGAGUAGACAGAAAAAAAAAAGAAACAGAUAUGGGUGGAAGUGGGUAGGACAGGAGAGAAAGAACAGGAAGUCAGAACAAAGAACAGACCAGAUGAGACCAGCAUUAAGAGAAAAUUGAGGACAAUUGGGGCAUCUCCGCUAGGGAUUUUUCUGUAAACUCUCUCGCAUCUGGGCACUUUGGCAUAGGCCUCGACAAACAAGGCUUGCCAGGUCACCAGGCAAGCAGGGUUUCUUGGGGUCAGUGGUGGGCCCAGUUAGGGAGUCUGGUUUGUAAGCACACUGUCUUUUAAUGAAUGGGAUGAGUCUACCCUGGACAGUGGCGUGACAUAUGGAUUCAGACUUUUCCUGGAUUGUGUUUCAAACUUUUGACUGCACAAGGGGGAGAGUUAGAUAAUGCACGAUAGCAAAGCAGGCAUGGCUGAUGUACUAUUUUUCUUCCCCUAAAUCGAAUACAGAGUAUGUUUUUUUAAUUUAUUUAUUGUUUGUUUUAUUUUAUUUGAUUUUGCUUCGUCUUGCAUGGAAAAUAAGAGGAAAAAAAAGACAUAUUCAUUGAAAAUAUAACAGACAUAGCUUACUCAAACUGGGAACUUAGUCCGUGACAGAAGCCCACGCAAAGCUAGGAGCAGCUUGGAGCAGAGGGGCGACAUUAAGUGCAAAGUUAAAGCAGUAGACAGGCUGGACAGCAUUUUGAGUUCGUGACUCAGCUGCGUAAUCUCAGUAUGUGAUGACAUCUCACAUUUCAGGGUCUCCGCUGUGAUAGUGAGGAUAACUGUUCUUUUUUUCUUUUUUCUUUGUAAGGUCAUGAAGUAUGUGUACACGUGCAUUCGUGCACUCAGACAAGGGAAUAUAUAAACAUGCGACCAAAUUAUACCAUCUAAAGACAAAAUCCUGGUAAAAUAGUCUCUAUGUUCCACUUUUAAGUUAUGCUUAGGAAUGAAAACUGGGAUCAAUAGCUUAGUUGGAGACAUGUUUAAGUAUUGGAAUUCUGAGUUUCUCCACUCUACGGGGCAGCAAUCAAGUUGUCAUUGAUUUAUACAAGCUUUGUGUUUCUAUGUGCCCUUAGGGAGGUCUGAAACAGUUUUCUGUGUCUUAGAUUCUUCUUUAUCUUUUCAUUUUGCGCUCAGUACGUUUGGUUUUCAAGUUGGUUCUACGUCAGCUGCACUUCUUUUCGUAUAACCCACUGGCUCACUUGGCGUCUAAACCCGAGAGACAGGACGAUGAACUCAACUUGGCUUAGGGCCGCCCCAAGCGCCAGUGAUGAUCUCCCCUUAUGCCUGUAGGCCAGGUGAGGAUUGAUGAGCUACACUUUCUCUUUUCAAAGAGCGGAUCCCACACUUGUCUUCAGAGAAGGUGGCAUCAUACAGAUACCAAGGCGCAUUACAGUCUUCAUGUUUUAAUUUCAUAACGCUUCUUAUUUUCCCAUUUUCUGAAAUAAGUUUGGGGGAAAUUCUCUGAUUUACUAUAGAACUGUAUAAGUGAAUGAAAGUCUUCAUGGCUUAUAGAUGUGAUAAAAAAAAAAAAACCUCAAAGAGUUACUCUGGACAUUUUAAAAAAGAGAGUAAAUUCAGUUUUGUUUUUUUUUUAAACGGAUCUACACUGGCCUUUUGGCUGCCAUGAGACAUAAAUGAUGCAUUGGGUUUGGAGUCUAGUUCUUGCCAACCACGCGUUUACACACUCAAGAGGUCAAACAAAUCCCCGACUUUGCUCCUUGUCUCAAACUGAACCUUAGCUAUCACUCAGGAAUCAUGGUUCAAUUUCCUGUUGAAACUGGAUGAAAUCUCUAUUCUCUUGUGAUCUCAUCCCUGUUCAAAUAAAAAUUACCUUUUUUCUGGGCUUGGAAUUUGCUAUUAAGCUAUGAUAUUUGCUGCUCUUUCGAAAAUAUAUAGAAGGUUUUCAUUUAGGAGAACACAAUCUUUCCCAUUACAUUUAAAUCACUGCGAUUAGCACUUGCCAUGUUAAAGUUAAAAGGUAUUUGUUGUUGACACCAAGUGUGUUAACACUGAUGGCGUCCAAAUGUUCUACUUGGAACUAAGAUGUUAUUAAUGAGGGCUAGAAUGGAAGCAUUUCUACACCUUAUAUAACAUCUAUUAUCACUUUGGGCAUAGCGAUUCUGGUAGGUAAAGUUAGUGCUUCAUAAUUUGAAUGAAAAGUGGCCUUUUACAGAGAAAAGAGUGUUUAAAGAGAUGUGGGCAUUCUAUGUUAGAGAGGAAAAUAGUCUUAGGACAUAAACAAUACUCAUCUUAAUAUAAAAAUGAGUAAUAUAAGUUGUGCCUGUCCUACAGGGAAACACAUGCCUUUUCACGUGGCUAUUGAAAUGCUCUCACUGGGCGGAGCUAAGACUCACGGAGAUCACAUGGCUAUUGAAAUGCUCUCACUGGGCGGAGCUAAGACUCGCGGAGAAUAGACGGCUAUACUCAGUCCGCCACGAGACUCGGAGUCAAAGGGAGGGACUAGCGCUGCCCUCAGCCUGGGUGAUGCCCAAGUCCAGUUACUGACCUUGUGAUACAGAGGACCACCACACAGAUGACAGCAAUCUGAACC